CCUACGGGAGGCAGCAGUAGGGAAUAUUGGGCAAUGGAGGCAACUCUGACCCAGCCAUGCCGCGUGCAGGAAGAAGGCGUUAUGCGUUGUAAACUGCUUUUAUAUAGGAAGAAAGAGUUCUUGCGAGAACAGUUGACGGUACUAUAUGAAUAAGCACCGGCUAACUCCGUGCCAGCAGCCGCGGUAAUACGGAGGGUGCAAGCGUUGUCCGGAUUUAUUGGGUUUAAAGGGUGCGUAGGCGGUUUAUUAAGUCAGUGGUGAAAGACGGUCGCUCAACGAUUGCAGUGCCAUUGAUACUGGUAGACUUGAGUGAGAUGGAGGUAGCUGGAAUGGAUAGUGUAGCGGUGAAAUGCAUAGAUAUUAUCCCGAACACCAAUUGCGUAGGCAAGUUACUAAGUAUCAACUGACGCUGAGGCACGAAAGUGUGGGUAUCAAACAUGGAUUAGAUACCCUGGUAGUCCCCUCUGUAAACGAUGAUAACUAACUGUUGGCUUUCGAGUCAGUG
rnacentral:rRNA from 1 species